UACGUAGGUGGCAAGCGUUAUCCGGAUUUAUUGGGUGUAAAGGGCGUGUAGGCGGGAGCGCAAGUCAGAUGCGAAAACUCAGGGCUCAACCCUGAGCCUGCAUUUGAAACUGUGUUUCUUGAGUGCUGGAGAGGCAAUCGGAAUUCCGUGUGUAGCGGUGAAAUGCGUAGAUAUACGGAGGAACACCAGUGGCGAAGGCGGAUUGCUGGACAGUAACUGACGCUGAGGCGCGAAAGCGUGGGGAGCAAACAGG
rnacentral:rRNA from 1 species